rnacentral:misc_RNA from 1 species
GUGAAUCAUCGAAUUUUUGAACGCAAAUUGCACUCCCUGGCAUGCCUGGAAGUAUGCCCGGUUGAGGGUAAGUAUUAACAAAAAAUCGGUUUGGUUGCAAGUUGUGACGUUUCGGGAGUUUGGGCUAUCUUAACUUUUUUGGUUAAGGGGCUUAAAAUUUACUUUAUUUGUGCAUUUUUAGACGUACAUAUAUCUUUUUUUUCUUUGAAUGUUCCUAA